rnacentral:rRNA from 1 species
UGAGCAAUCUGCCCUUCUCUUUGGAAUAAGCGUUGGAAACGACGUCUAAUGCCGAAUACGACCUCCUUUCGCAUGAUUGGAGGUGGAAAGCUCCGGCGGAGAAGGAUGAGCUCGCGGCCUAUCAGCUAGUUGGUGUGGGUAAUGGCCCACCAAGGCGACGACGGGUAGCCGGCCUGAGAGGGUGACCGGCCACACUGGGACUGAGACACGGCCCAGACUCCGUACGGGAGGNAGCG